GAUGAAGAACGUAGCGAAAUGCGAUAAGUAAUGUGAAUUGCAGAAUUCAGUGAAUCAUCGAAUCUUUGAACGCACAUUGCGCCCAUUAGUAUUCUAGUGGGCAUGCCUGUUCGAGCGUCAUUAUCACCCCUCAAGCCCCCUUGGCUUGGUGUUGGACGGUUUUGGUGGGGACGUGCAGCCUCUCACCCCUCCUAAAGACAAUGACGGCGGCGUCGUUGGGACCCCCGGUACACUGAGCUUCUUAACUGAGCACGUACUGGACGCGGGUACGCGACGCACGGUCUGCCUCCCCUUUAAGGGAGAACUUUUUCUUAAGGUUGACCUCGGAUCAGGUAGGAAUACCCGCUGAACUUAAGCAUAUCAAUAAGCGGAGGA
rnacentral:misc_RNA from 1 species